CACGCCUCUCUUCUCUCUCUCUCUCUCUCUCUCUCUCUUUACCAUCUCUCACGAUCUCUCAGGCCUCAGCUCUCUCUCUCUCCCUUCACCAUCUCUCACGCCUCUCUCACACCUCUCUUCACCAUCUCUCACGAUCUCUCAUCUCCAUCUCUCACACCUCUCUUCACCUCUCACGAUCUCUCGUCUUCUCCAUCUCUCACACCUCUUUUCACCUCUCACGAUCUCUCUUCUCCAUCUCUCAUGCCUUAGCUCUCUUAAAGGUCAGUUCUCUCUCUCUCUCUCUCUCUCUUAGCGUUUUGUGUUAGAAUAAUGGAACCCUUAGAUUACUUAAGUUGGAUGUUGGGUUUUUUGAUUCUUGAUAUGGGUUAUGGUAUAAUCAGAACAAGAACAAGAGAAACUAAGUGUGUGGUUACCAGAAAAUGGGGCGAUCUGGUGUGUGAUUUUGUGUUAGAAUAGAACAAGAACUCAAACCCAUGCUCCAAUACAGUCUUUAAAAAAUGGCCAGUAUUUGAUUAUCAAAUCUCUGUUUUUAAUCCGAUUAUAGACAUGGGUUUUAUGGGUUUGGGUUCCUGCGAAUGUUUUCAAACAUGGGUUUGAGUUCUUUUUGGUCUGUGACGUUUUGUUUGUGCCUAAGAGUAAAAUUCGUGCAACUUCAACUUGAGAGGCAAAUUUGAAUUCAAAUUAGGUUCUGACCUUUGGAGAGAGAUGCUGGACAAGUAGGGAUUAAAAUAACAUGUUGGAGGGAAGAGAGAUGGUUGUUAGGAGCUGUCACUAUCACAUUGGAAGCUCUCAUGCAUCUCAGCCAUCCAAUUCAAAUUAAUUCAGAUCCUCUCAUCCCAACCAUUCAUUUUGAAUCCAGAUCUAUCUCUCUUUGUCUUCUUCUUUUUAAAGAGCUCCCAUUGUAAUCAAUUAUAAUCCA
rnacentral:lncRNA from 1 species